rnacentral:rRNA from 1 species
GACGAACGCUGGCGGCGUGCUUAACACAUGCAAGUCGAACGGAAAGGCCCUGCUUUUGUGGGGUGCCCGAGUGGCGAACGGGUGAGUAACACGUGAGUAACCUGCCCUUGACUUUGGGAUAACUUCAGGAAACUGGGGCUAAUACCGGAUAGGAGCUCCUGCUGCAUGGUGGGGGUUGGAAAGUUUCGGCGGUUGGGGAUGGACUCGCGGCUUAUCAGCUUGUUGGUGGGGUAGUGGCUUACCAAGGCUUUGACGGGUAGCCGGCCUGAGAGGGUGACCGGCCACAUUGGGACUGAGAUACGGCCCAGACUCCUACGGGAGGCAGCAGUGGGGAAUAUUGCACAAUGGGCGGAAGCCUGAUGCAGCAACGCCGCGUGCGGGAUGACGGCCUUCGGGUUGUAAACCGCUUUCGCCUGUGACGAAGCGUGAGUGACGGUAAUGGGUAAAGAAGCACCGGCUAACUACGUGCCAGCAGCCGCGGUGAUACGUAGGGUGCGAGCGUUGUCCGGAUUUAUUGGGCGUAAAGGGCUCGUAGGUGGUUGAUCGCGUCGGAAGUGUAAUCUUGGGGCUUAACCCUGAGCGUGCUUUCGAUACGGGUUGACUUGAGGAAGGUAGGGGAGAAUGGAGUUCCUGGUGGAGCGGUGGAAUGCGCAGAUAUCAGGAGGAACACCAGUGGCGAAGGCGGUUCUCUGGGCCUUUCCUGACGCUGAGGAGCGAAAGCGUGGGGAGCGAACAGGCUUAGAUACCCUGGUAGUCCACGCUGUAAACGGUGGGUACUAGGUGUGGGGUCCAUUCCACGGGUUCCGUGCCGUAGCUAACGCUUUAAGUACCCCGCCUGGGGAGUACGGCCGCAAGGCUAAAACUCAAAGGAAUUGACGGGGCCCCGCACAAGCGGCGGAGCAUGCGGAUUAAUUCGAUGCAACGCGUAGAACCUUACCUGGGUUUGACAUGGAUCGGGAGUGCUCAGAGAUGGGUGUGCCUCUUUUGGGGUCGGUUCACAGGUGGUGCAUGGCUGUCGUCAGCUCGUGUCGUGAGAUGUUGGGUUAAGUCCCGCAACGAGCGCAACCCUUGUUCACUGUUGCCAGCACGUUAUGGUGGAGACUCAGUGGAGACCGCCGGGGUCAACUCGGAGGAAGGUGGGGAUGACGUCAAGUCAUCAUGCCCCUUAUGUCCAGGGCUUCACGCAUGCUACAAUGGCUGGUACAGAGAGUGGCGAGCCUGUGAGGGUGAGCGAAUCCCGGAAAGCCGGUCUCAGUUCGGAUUGGGGUCUGCAACUCGACCUCAUGAAGUCGGAGUCGCUAGUAAUCGCAGAUCAGCAACGCUGCGGUGAAUACGUUCCCGGGGCU